rnacentral:lncRNA from 1 species
AUUAAUAUUUUUGCUAAAGUUUCUAGCCUAAAAUCAAGAUUACAAGUAAAUACACAGGAAAUAAAAGAGUGAGUGGCACCUGUAUCGAUCAAAGCUUUAGCAGAGAUAUCAUGGAUAGAAAACAUAACCUGGAUAAAUAGGAGCAGGGAGAGCACCGGGUUCAUCUAAGUGGUACACACAACCCUGGGCUACAGGCUUGGCCACGUCUUUCGGUCGCUGGGGGUAGUCUUUUAUGAGAUGCUUGGUGCUUCCACACUGAUAGCAAGCGUGAUUGAUAUGCUAACAAGGUAAGUCACCAUGUGAGCGACCACAAUGCUGACAGGGUUGGUUAGGUCAAGCUGGGUGAGCUGUAGAUGGAGGCAAGGCAGGGGGAAGGGCAACUCUAGUUUGUUUAUCAAGGUGGCUACUUACUGGGUCAAACAACUCCUUCUAAGCUGUUGGGGUUGUUGUUGGAUACGGACUUAGGCAAUGCAUUAGUGAUUGGCCCAGAUAAGGUCUUCGGCCAACUAGGCAUGUUCUAGCACCUUCACAUAAGAGUUGGGUCUUAGCAUCGCGACCCGAUCAUAUAUGUCGGCACGAAGGCCCUUUAGAAACUUCCUACCUUUUUGGCUUUCGGGG